GGACGGCUUCUUCCCCUCGCGCUCUGGCUUUUCUUCUCUCCGGUGUUCGGCGCCUUGACCUGUCGUCGCGUUUGCGUUUUCCGCUUCUUCCUUCGCUCCUCUCUCUCCGUUUCUUCUUCUUCUACGGUUGAUUUGUUUCGCCGCUUUUGCCCUUCGGUGCUCGCAGAUUGCUCGGGGCGGUCGCGCGUGCGCCUCCGUGUGGGUGUGGCGCGGGGAACAAGUCGAGUUGUUCGGUUUAUGGUUUAUUUUUUCCUGUGAUUCGAUCCUCCAGUAUUUUCGUUUCGAUCCUCGUUUUCGCCGUCUUCGCCUUCUCAGCGUGUGGGUUGCAGGAUUACCUGUCCCGAUUGGGGAGUUGGAGGCGGGGUUCCUCAUGGCGUCGUGUGGCAAGGAGGUCGAGGCAGGUCAGUCUCUCGUCAGAUCCGGCGGUUCAUUGGUUUUAUCACUCGGAGGAUCGGUGGUUUCAGGCUUAAUCGUCCCGGUGACCGUUGUGAUCUCAUCCUAUGGGCUCGUGUUACCGAGCGAUCUUCUCCGCUAGUCAAAUCAUGGGUUAAGGUGGAUUCAAGACCUCGGUCGAUUCUUAUUUUAACAGCUGAUCUCGUUUGUGGUGGGUGUUUGUCCUGCUUUUAGAUGCAGAAAGGAAGGGUCCUUGAUGGUUCAGGAGAGAUUAUUAGUUCAGAAGAGUUGAAGGGUGGAGGUUUGCUUAUGGUUCCUUCGUCGAUUUUAAUUUGUUAUGGUCGGUUUGGUAUCAUGGUGGCGUGAAGGUCGCCACCGGACUAACUAGAAACUUGACAGCCCGUAUGGGAGUUGCUGUUAGCUGGAUCUGCAGAGGAAACAAAUAGAGGUGCGAGUUUUAGAGGCAGAUUGAGGCGUUGGCUGGUCUGAAGUUCAUACCGCCUGGAGAGCACCAUCGUUUGGAUAUCUCUACCCCAGUUCUUUCUUAUUGGUCCCUACUCUUAAAUUUCUGCAUGCUGCAAUUCUGAUAUCCGGGCUUGCGGUUCUUCUCCAGCAAUUGGAUUAUAUGGACGGAUGGAUGGGUUGGAGGCGGGAUUGAUUCUGCUUGAGCAAAUGGAACCGUGGAGGGUUCCGUGUGUUUGUUUACUAAUAAUCCUCUCCUGUCAACGUUUUUCGACAAUUAACUUCCAUCAUAGGCUACCAUUGAUUCGUUAGUAAUUCUGCAGUUUGGGGGAGGCAUCAGCAAACAGAUAGAACUGUCGCACAGAUAGAACUGUCAGCUGGAAUAGUCAACGAUUGAUCAGGCUUUAUCCCUAUCCCUACAUUUUGAUGAUUGCAAUUGCUGUUUAAGGGUCAAAUUGAUGGUUACCGUAGAGUGGCCUCUCACUGAUUGCAGAUCGCUAGGUGAUACUUGCACAGGAGCAAUAGGAAGCCGACUGAAUCUCUCUUCAGCUUUUCAAAACUACCACCUUCUCCGAUUUUCUCAUCUUGUUUGUUGAGUGGAUUCUACCUCAAAAGUAGAUAAUGAUCAUAGUAUGGUCAUUAUUGCAGGUCACCAGCUGAUAUUUUUGCAAGAGUUGUUGGUGACGAUUGGAAUGUGUUGGGAGUGCUUUCUAACCUAUUCUAAUUUGAGACAACAUGCUAAUUUUUUGGAAUUAUGAUAAUUUCUCAGUUUAAAAUUCGGAUACUAUGAUCAACAUGCAGUGGUAGAAGGUUCUGAGCAUAUUUGGGGGAUUCAAGCUGGCACGGGGGAAUUUUUGGCUACAGCAUACUGACCCUACACUCGUUCUAAACUUGUUUCUGUUUCUUCAUUUAUGCUUUGAACAUAGCUUUAAUUCUGGUGUUGCUUCUCUAUGUUCGCAGAUCAUUUAGCCCAACUAGUUGGUAGUCCGUCCGUCUGAUUUGGUCAUAAAAUGUUCGGUUUGGGAUUUCUCUCUGUGGUUUCAUUUGCUCUAUCUAUAUUUUUGUGCUCAUGUGGUGGUUGCAGGAUUAGUUGGGCAUUGGAACUUACUGUAUCUAAGAAUUGGCACUUGAAAUUGAGGGCAGGUCAGAGUCUAGUGCACGGUCAUUUUGGUUAUAUUGGUUUCAUUACUUGUAUUCAGUGGUUUCAGAUCUGAAUGGUUGGCUAAUAUUCUGCCCCUCCAGUGGGAUAAUGAUGAGGUUUGAGGCCCUGGAUUUAUUCAGUAUUGUAUAAGCUGAUCUUUGUUGUGGUGUGUUUUGUGUCAUUCAGAGAUGCAGGUGGGGCAUUGGUUGUGGAGGUUGAUUGGUGUAGAGGUUUGGUUAUGGCUGACAGUAGUUUUGCUAUUUCCGCAUUAUAUUAUGAUGAACCAUCAUGACAUUACGACUAAAAUGCUAAAGCUUCGAUUGGGAUCAAGGUUCAAAUCUAUAGGAUGCUUGGAAGCAACACUCUGAUUGGAAAAAUUAUGACUUCUGAUUGCCAUCAAUGUUCAAAUCUGUAGGAUGCUUGUAAUUAUUUGGAUGACUUCUUUUGUGCCGCAACAAUUGAAAUUACAAGAUGUGACACGUGCACAUGCUGAGCUAUAAUUUCCGAUCAUUUGUUGCACAUGCUUCGUGCCCGUUCUCUACUAAGCCAGGCCUAUCCCUAUCCUAAACCAUGACUUACCGUGAUUUUAAGGAACCCAAAAGAGACAAUCCUUCGGUAAUUUCAGGCUUAGAAAGUUCAAUUUUGCAAGUUAAAUCUGAUAUAUAUCUUCCAAAUUCUGCUGCCUUCUUUACUUCUGUUGACCAGAGAACUUAUGGAUAGUGUACAUUGAUUGCUUGGGGACCUGCGUAAGACAUUCUGAAGCUGUUUGAAUGAACCAUGAUAGCUUGAUGAUCAACAUCUGCAAGAAAGAUCCCUCUGCCCAGAGUUUGCCCCCCAACUAUUUUCCUCAGUUGUUGACUACAUAUUACUUUCCAGCUUGCUCGUUCAAGGUUGUUUGGUUGGUUUCCAGUUACUGGAGAGUAUGGAUGCUUAGAAGUUUGGAGUAAUGGGGCACUUUAUAAGAUUCUUCCUUCUAACCAGAGUUCACUCUUGCUAAUAUCCUGAGUAAUACUUCUAUUUCGGAUCCACUUUCUGAUUUAAGUUGACAGCUGUUUGGUUGGUUUACAGCAGUUGGACCUUAGUAUGGAUGAAUGCUAAGGCAUCCCGAGAUCUGGCUGUUUUUGUCUAUGGAUUCUUCCAGUCAUUUACAAUCCUUUAACAAGCUUAUUGAUGAUUCUUAAACAGUCCUUACCCUAGAUGCCUCAUCCAAUGGUGCAGGUUCACUGUUUGAGUUGAUUUCCAGUAAGAACUCUCGCUAUAUGUUGGUCCCCAGUUAAUUUUGCAAGAAGCAGCGUAGACCAUGUUUCUACCUUCUAAUAUCUAUGCUUUAACCUGACUAAUAAAUUUAUCUGCAAAAUCAUUUAGCUUUUUGAAAAAUAAUCAUGAAUGUCUCUUCUAGAUAGUUUACAGAAUGUAGGGUCAUAGUAUUACCUUGUUCUAAUUUCAAAUUAGGGGAUGCCUACUAACAUGCAAUCUGGUUCCUGAUUUGAUUCUAUUCUCACUUCCUUUGGUAUAACCCUUAGUCAGCUUAUUAAUUUCAUUCGUGACUAUCAAAUUUACUUGUCUUGAUAGGGGUUGUUAAUUCAUUCACUAAUUAAUCAUAAUUUUGUUAAAUUCAUCAUAUCGCGGUAAAUCAUAACCAUUAGUAUUUUUAGUAAUCUAGUUAUUAUAUGAAAUCAGCAUUAUAAAGUUUUGAUAACUGAGGAGAUAGUUGUCCCUAGCUUCUUUGGUGAGUCAAGCUACAUUUUCUUGUCCUCCUUUUGGUUAUCAUGGUAUCGAUCUCCUGGAGUGAUGCACUUCCUUCGCUGCACCCUUUAUGCCCUCAUCUUCACUUUAUAUGCAGACUCCAGUCUUUUGAACUUUGUUCUGUUAUUCCCACAUUUAGGGGUCGCAUCAGUUCAUUCUAUCGUUGUGGAUCAAAACCAAUUAUUGCUCUCCCCAAAAGAGAAUCUGUCUGAGCUAACAUGUUGUUUGGCUGAACAAUUGUCGCAUUUGAGCCUAUACACCAUUUGGUGAUGCAAUUUCUGCUUUGCGGCAAGCUUCUGAGAUGGAACUGGAGUCUUCUGUUUGCUUGUUGCUUGGUGGUCAUUUUUGUGGCAGAGGUCUGAUUUACUGGACAGUGUUAGUGUUUAUAUACCUGGAUUUCAGUUUCAAGAAUUUGGGUUGAAGUCAUCCUGGUUCAGAUAAAUGUGUGGAUUUGCUGUGCUUGAAGUCAAAAGACCGUUAGGAUUGGGAUGUAUAGUGAAAGCUUAGAGCAGAAGCUUAGGUGCUUGCUUUAAGUAAUCUACUAGAUUUUCUCACCCUGACUUGUAUUAGUGAACUUGAAUCGUGUGCUUGGUUCCAUUUGUAUGUUAGUUGUUCAGAUUUGUUGGUAAAGAUAAAGAUCCCUCAGUUUGGUGAAGCUCUGUUAUCUUGACAGAUCAAUAUGUUAUAUGGUUGGUUGAAUAGUGGUCUUAGGUUAGCUACAGACUAGGAUGGUCAAACUUGCAUUUUUGGUUAGGUUGUAACAAACUGCUUGCACAAGUGGUUCAAGAAACGUAGCAAAAGUAUGCUGACUUUUUAAGUACUAUGAUGGCAUUGUUUGCACUUAUUGGAUCUGAGGUAUGAGGAUGCUAAAAUGAAGAAGUUUUGACUUAACUAUUGUUAUUAGCCAACAACAAUCACAAACUUCUGAAUUGGAUUGCUGGACCUGAAAUAAUAUCUGGACCAGUUGGUAGGACACUUGGUACUCGAUAGUCUUGAGCUGCUGCCUGUGUGUUUUCUAUCAGUGGUCAUGGAGUUUACCGACAAUGUCAGUUUUUUGUGAUAAGUUGGAUAAACUGUACAAGAUGAGGAUUGCCCAGUGUAUGCGUGCUUGUGGACUUAUUUAGCUCUGUGUAGUGCUGUUGGUUUGGAGACUGCACUUCUUCGAAGUGUUCUCUCCUGUGAGCCAAGUUCUGAUUUGGGUUCUUGAUCAUGAGUGAUUUUUUCCGAAGCUGGUCGUGGUGGCCAUUGAGUUUCUUCGUAUGGAGUUGCAGAAUCUGCAUUGGCUAGCUGGAUAACUCUUUAAUUUUCUUGAAUAAGGUUAACUAAAACCGUGUUGUGGUUUGCUUGUGACAGUGCACACCAUCAUCCUCCAGAUCCCAGGUCUCUCUGUUCUUGUACCAUGGAGCCAACUGACCUGAAGUCUUAUCCUUGUCCUGAUUGUUCCAUCACAUAAACUGCAAAUGAACACUUCUUGCCA